CAAUAGCGUAUAUUAAAGUUGUUGCGGUUAAAAAGCUCGUAGUUGGAUUUCUGUCUGGGACGACCGGUCUACUCUCUGAGUAAGCAUCUGGUCCGUUUCGGGCAUCCUCGUGGGGAACGUAUCCUGCUUAACUGUGGGGUGCGGAAUCUGCGACUUUUACUUUGAGGAAAUUAGAGUGUUCACUGCAGGCAAUCGCCUUGAAUACAUUAGCAUGGAAUAAUAAGAUAGGACCUUAGUUCUAUUUUGUCGGUUUCUAGAGCUGAGGUAAUGAUUAACAGGGAUAGUUGGGGGCAUUCGUAUUUAACUGUCAGAGGUGAAAUUCUUGGAUUUGUUAAAGACGAACUACUGCGAAAGCAUUUGCCAAGGAUGUUUUCAUUGAUCAAGAACGAAAGUUAGGGGAUCGAAGAUGAUCAGAUACCAU
rnacentral:rRNA from 1 species